rnacentral:rRNA from 1 species
GACGAACGCUGGCGGCGUGCCUAAUACAUGCAAGUAGAACGCUGAAGGAGGAGCUUGCUUCUCUGGAUGAGUUGCGAACGGGUGAGUAACGCGUAGGUAACCUGCCUGGUAGCGGGGGAUAACUAUUGGAAACGAUAGCUAAUACCGCAUAAUAGCAGUUAUUGCAUGAUAACUGUUUGAAAGGUGCAAUUGCAUCACUACCAGAUGGACCUGCGUUGUAUUAGCUAGUUGGUGGGGUAACGGCUCACCAAGGCGACGAUACAUAGCCGACCUGAGAGGGUGAUCGGCCACACUGGGACUGAGACACGGCCCAGACUCCUACGGGAGGCAGCAGUAGGGAAUCUUCGGCAAUGGACGGAAGUCUGACCGAGCAACGCCGCGUGAGUGAAGAAGGUUUUCGGAUCGUAAAGCUCUGUUGUAAGAGAAGAACGAGUGUGAGAGUGGA